GACGAACGCUGGCGGCGUGCUUAACACAUGCAAGUCGAACGGAAAGGCCCUGCUUUUGUUGGGUGCUCGAGUGGCGAACGGGUGAGUAACACGUGAGUAACCUUCCCUUGACUUUGGGAUAACUUCAGGAAACUGGGGCUAAUACCGGAUAGGAGCUCCUGCUGCAUGGUGGGGGUUGGAAAUUUUCGGCGGUUGGGGAUGGACUCGCGGCUUAUCAGCUUGUUGGUGGGGUAGUGGCUUACCAAGGCUUUGACGGGUAGCCGGCCUGAGAGGGUGACCGGCCACAUUGGGACUCAGAUACGGCCCAGAGUCAUACGGGAGGCAGCAGUGGGGAAUAGUGCACAAUGGGCGGAAGCCUGAUGCAGCAACGCCGCGUGCGAGAUGACGGCCUUCGGGGUGUAAACCGCUUUCGCCUGGGACGAAGAGUGAGUGACGGUAAUGGGUAAAGAAGCACCGGCUAACUACGUG
rnacentral:rRNA from 1 species